rnacentral:rRNA from 1 species
AUACGGAGGAUCCGAGCGUUAUCCGGAUUUAUUGGGUUUAAAGGGUGCGCAGGCGGCCAUUUAAGUCAGCGGUUAAAUCGUGGGGCUCAACCCCAUUCUGCCGUUGAUACUGGGUGGCUUGAUUGCGGUCGAGGUUGGCGGAAUUCGUUGUGUAGCGGUGAAAUGCAUAGAUAUGACGAAGAACACCGAUUGCGUAGGCAGCUGACCAGACCGCAAAUGACGCUCAUGCACGAAAGUGUGGGGAUCGAACAGGAUUAGAUACCCUGGUAGUCCGCACAGUAAACGAUGAAUACUUGUUUUCGGCGAUAUAAUGUCGGAGGCAAAGCGAAAGCGAUAAGUAUUCCACCUGGGGAGUACGCCGGCAACGGUGAAACUUAAAGGAAUUGACGGGG